rnacentral:rRNA from 1 species
UACGUAGGUUGCAAGCGUUGUCCGGAAUCACUGGGCGUAAAGGGUCUGUAGGUGGUCUGUUAAGUCUCCUGUGAAAUUUCCGGGCUUAACCCGGAACGGUCGGGGGAUACUGGCAGACUCGAGGCCGUCAGAGGGAAGCGGAAUUCCCGGUGUAGUGGUGAAAUGCGUAGAUAUCGGGAGGAACACCAGUGGCGAAAGCGGCUUCCUGGGGCGGUCCUGACACUCAUAGACGAAAGCGUGGGGAGCAAACCGG